CUGGGUAUCCGGACAGCUGCGUGGCAUGAAUUUGUCAUGAGGAAAGUCCGGGCUCCGCAGAGCAAGGGUGCCGGAUAACGUCCGGCGUAGGUAACUAUAGGGAAAGUGCAACAGAAACAUUCCGCCGAACGGGUGAGUUCACUGCGUGGUAAGGUUGAAAUGGUGAGGUAAGAGCUCACCGGCAGUAUGGUAACAUACUGGCCGUGUAAACCCCACCCGGAGCAAGACCAAGAAUGGACACAGGUGGCGGGCUGCUCGUCUGCCGUCCGAGAGGUAGGUCGCACGAGCGUGUCAGCAAUGGCACGCCUAGAUAGAUGGCUGUCUAUUACAGAACCCGGCUUACAGGAUGCCCAGUCAU
rnacentral:RNase_P_RNA from 1 species